GCAGUCGCCGCGGGAAUACGAAGGGGGCUAGCGUUGCUCGGAAUGACUGGGCGUAAAGGGCGCGUAGGCGGCGAUCAAAGUCAGGCGUGAAAUUCCUGGGCUCAACCUGGGGGCUGCAUUUGAUACGUGCGGGCUUGAGUGGGGAAGAGGGUCGUGGAAUUGCGAGUGUAGAGGUGAAAUUCGUAGAUAUUCGCAGGAACACCAGUGGCGAAGGCGGCUAACUGGUCCAUAACUGACGCUGAGGUGCGAAAGCGUGGGGAGCAAACAGGAUUAGAUACCCCAGUAGUCCCUGUCUCUUAUAC
rnacentral:rRNA from 1 species